GCCGGGAAGGGGCGCCGGCUCGCCCGGAGCCCCCCCGGCAACCAAUCCCCGGCGCCCCAGGCGCCAAGGAGCAGCAACAGAGCGAAGGGGCACCGCCGCCGGCGGCCCGGGAACGGUGCCGACCGCCCGGCGCGUGCCCCGCGGAACUCUUAGCAUCCGAACGACUCUCGGCAACGGAUAUCUCGGCUCUCGCAUCGAUGAAGAACGUAGCGAAAUGCGAUACUUGGUGUGAAUUGCAGAAUCCCGUGAACCAUCGAGUCUUUGAACGCAAGUUGCGCCCGAAGCCGUUAGGUCGAGGGCACGUCUGCCUGGGUGUCACGCAGCGUCGCCUCCGCCCCACCGAGGGCGUCCCGGCGGACGAUGGCCUCCCGCGAGCAACGCCUCCCGGCUGGCCGAAAAAGGGGCCCGACGCGGCGGCGGCGCCACGAUCCACGGUGGCUGAGUGAGCCUUCACGCGCUCGAGACCGGACGUGCGCGCGUCGCCCCGCGAGGAGGUGCCCGGCCGCAGGGCCGUCCCACCCGUACGCGACCCCAGGUCAGGCGGGG
rnacentral:rRNA from 1 species